ensembl:lncRNA
GUUUUAGGCUGGGUUUCUGUACAGCACUUUGAGAUAUCAGCUGAUGUACGAAGGGCUAUAUAAAUAAAUUAGAUUUGAUUUGAUAUGGAAUGGUCUGCCUACCUAUGUCAGAGACGCAAACCCGGUCUCAACCUUUAAGUCUUUACUGAAGACUCAUCUCUUCAGUAGAUCCUAUGAUUGAGUGUAGUCUGGCCCAGGAGUGUGAAGGUGAACGGAAAGGCACUGGAGCAACGAACCGCCCUUGCUGUCUCUGCCUGGCCGGUUCCCCUCUCUCCACUGGGAUUCUCUGCCUCUAAUCCUAUUACAGGGGCAGAGUCACUGGCUUACUGGUGCUCUUCCAUGCCGUCCCUAGGAGGGGUGUGUCACUUGAGUGGGUUGAGUCACUGACGUUAUCUUCCUGUCCGGGUUGGCCUCCCCCUUGGGUUGUGCCGUGGCGGAGAUCUUUGUGGGCUAUACUCGGCCUUGUCUCAGGAUGGUAAGUUGGUGGUUGAAGAUAUCCCUCUAGUGGUGUGGGGGCUGUGCUUUGGCAAAGUGGGUGGGGUUAUAUCUUGCCUGGUUUGCCCUGUCUCUAGAGACAGCAGGAGCGGUAGAGAUACUUUGAAUGAUCAGAUAUGAAAAGCCAACUGACAAAGGUUUCUUCCUAGGUUCUGGCCUUUCUAGGGAGUUUUUCCUAGCCAACAUGCUUCUACACCUGCAUUGCUUGCUGUUUGGCGUUUUAGGCUGGGUUUCUGUACAGCACUUUGUGACAUCAGCUGAUGUGUCCUUGGAGAGCUCCUCAAUGAGACUUAAACCUCGGUGAAAUCCUGCGACUAGUGAUGUCCGGCCACCCGACAACCUGCCCACUCGACCCCAUCCCCUCUUCCCUUCUCCAGACUAUUUCUACAGACCUUCUCUCAUUCCUCACUUCCAUCAUCAACUCAUCCCUGACUACUGGCUGCAUCCCCUCUGACUUCAAAAUGGCCGCUCCCCUCCGCAAGAAACCAACACUUGACCCCUCUGCCGUCAAAAACUACAGACUGGUUGCAACACACAUCUCUGGCAGACAUCUCAGCUCAUCAGCUCAAGCUCAACUUCGACAAAACAGAGCUAUUCUUUCUCCCGGGAAAGGCCUGUUCUCUCCAAGACCUCUCCAUCACAGUCACAACUCCAGUGUCCCCCUCCCAGAGUGAUUUUGGCGUGACCGUGAACAACACCCUGCCAUUCUCUGCAAACAUCAAUUCGCUCCUGACCUGAGCCCUAGGACCAUGCCCCAGGACUACCUGACAUGAUGACUCCUUGCUGUCCCCAGUCCACCUGGCCAUGCUGCUGCUCCAGUUUCAACUUCCACCUGACUGUGCUGCUGCUCCAGUUUCAACUGUUCUGCCUUAUUAUUAUUCGGCCAUGCUGGUCAUUUAUGAACAUUUGAACAUCUUGGCCAUGUUCUGUUAUAAUCUCCACCCGGCACAGCCAGAAGAGGACUGGCCACCCCACAUAGCCUGGUUCCUCUCUAGGUUUCUUCCUAGGUUUUGGCCUUUCUAGGGAGUUUUUCCUAGCCACCGUGCUUCUACACC